rnacentral:rRNA from 1 species
UUUGAAUGGAGAGUUUGAUCCUGGCUCAGGAUGAACGCUGGCGGCGUGCUUAACACAUGCAAGUCGAACGAGAAAGCACCUUCGGGUGUGAGUAGAGUGGCGAACGGGUGAGUAACACGUGAGCAACCUGCCUCUCACUUCGGAAUAACUCAGGGAAACCUGUGCUAAUACCGGAUACUCCGUACAUUCCGCAUGCUAUGUACGGGAAAGCCUUGUGCGGUGAGAGAUGGGCUCGCGGCCCAUUAGGUAGUUGGUGGGGUAACGGCCUACCAAGCCAACGAUGGGUAGCCGGGUUGAGAGACCGACCGGCCACAUUGGGACUGAGACACGGCCCAGACUCCUACGGGAGGCAGCAGUGGGGAAUUUUGCGCAAUGGGGGAAACCCUGACGCAGCAACGCCGCGUGCGGGAUGAAGGCCUUCGGGUUGUAAACCGCUUUCAGUAGGGAAGAAAAUGACGGUACCUACAGAAGAAGCUCCGGCUAACUACGUGCCAGCAGCCGCGGUAAUACGUAGGGAGCGAGCGUUAUCCGGAUUUAUUGGGCGUAAAGCGCGCGUAGGCGGGCUAUUAAGUCAGGUGUUAAAGCCCGGGGCUCAACCCCGGCCCGCACCUGAAACUGGUAGUCUUGAGUCUGGUAGGGGAAAGUGGAAUUCCCAGUGUAGCGGUGAAAUGCGCAGAUAUUGGGAAGAACACCAGUGGCGAAGGCGGCUUUCUAGGCCACGACUGACGCUGAGGCGCGAAAGCUAGGGGAGCAAACAGGAUUAGAUACCCUGGUAGUCCUAGCCGUAAACGAUGAAUACUAGGUGUGGGGGAGUAAUCUCUUCCGUGCCGCAGCUAACGCAUUAAGUAUUCCGCCUGGGGAGUACGGCCGCAAGGCUAAAACUCAAAGGAAUUGACGGGG